GAUGAACGCUGGCGGCGUGCCUAAUACAUGCAAGUCGAGCGAACAGACGAGGAGCUUGCUCCUCUGACGUUAGCGGCGGACGGGUGAGGAACACGUGGAUAACCUACCUAUAAGACUGGGAUAACUUCGGGAAACCGGAGCUAAUACCGGAUAAUAUAUUGAACCGCAUGGUUCAAUAGUGAAAGACGGUUUUGCUGUCACUUAUAGAUGGAUCCGCGCCGCAUUAGCUAGUUGGUAAGGUAACGGCCUACCAAGGCAACGAUGCGUAGCCGACCUGAGAGGGUGAUCGGCCACACUGGAACUGAGACACGGUCCAGACUCCUACGGGAGGCAGCAGUAGGGAAUCUUCCGCAAUGGGCGAAAGCCUGACGGAGCAACGCCGCGUGAGUGAUGAAGGUCUUCGGAUCGUAAAACUCUGUUAUUAGGGAAGAACAAAUGUGUAAGUAACUAUGCACGUCUUGACGGUACCUAAUCAGAAAGCCCCGGCUAACUACGUG
rnacentral:rRNA from 1 species